rnacentral:lncRNA from 1 species
CUUCUUAAGUCCAGGGAAGGGAGGGGACGGCGGGGCCCCAGUGUCCCUCCCCGCUGCCUCCCCCCACCCCGUUCCCCUUCUGGACGGGCGCCGUGGCUCCGGCACCCACUGCUGGGGAACCUGCGGAGUGGGCGGGGAGCGCGACUGAAAGUUCCAAGUUCACAGAAGUCCCGCGCGCGGCCCACCGCGUCUCGGGAUUUCGGGGGGGGGGUGUGUGGGGGGCCAGGUAAGCGGUUCGCGCACGUCAGGACCAGCCCCGCACCCUCUGGCAGCCUGCGCGGCGCGCUGCCCCGCCCUCGGUCACACGAACGCGCCUUCUCACCCGCGCGCACACCCGCAGCCGAGCACACGCGUCCGCGUGCACGGCCGCUCGUGUCCUCCAUCCUCGAGCGACCACCAGGAUGUGCCUCGGGCCUCGCCGCCGCCGCCGCUGCCGCUGUGCCCGCGACAGUGCCCCUAGCCCCAUUGUGUGAAUUCCACGAAGCAACAGCUUUGGGCUCCAGGCAGAGCGCAGGAGAAUCAUGCAGAGGAAGGAAGCACACAGGUUGGAGUCGCCUCCAAACAGCCCCAAGAGCCACUUAAAAAAAUUCUUUAAGGUUGGUUUUGUUUUUGGCUUUUGGAAAGCGUAUUCACUUAGGUGAUUUCUGUUUAAAGAAAAGCAAAUAAAAGAUG